rnacentral:siRNA from 1 species
UUGACCCGUCGAGCAUGUAGC